ensembl:lncRNA
GUGGAUGUCUAGCAGGUCUGAUGUGAUGCAUGCUGCAUAUUCAUAACAGUGACCACAUGCAGUUAGGAGUUAGGUGUCUUGCUCAGGGACAUGGGACAUGGGGCAGCCGGGGCUCGAACCACCAACCUUGCGGUUUCCAGCGCACCCGCUCUAGUCCGUGUGCCACCGUCGCCACGUAAAGGGUUUAAAGUUUGGAAAAAUCAAAGGAACCCGGCGACGAGAAACUCCUCCCCAGCCUCGUCUGUUUUGACGUGGGAACUUUCAUGAGCGGGACACCUGCCGGCCCGAAGACAAGAAACAAGACCCGAUGAGACGGCGCGCGUCCCGGCGGAUACGGGCCGUCUGGCAGGAAGACGCGUGGGUGAAAGAUUCCCCACGCGUCACCAGGCGUUUGGCACCAGCGA